rnacentral:misc_RNA from 1 species
GUUGGUUAGAACUAAAUUUUGGCAAGGACUUGGCUCUGCAACACCAACAUUACUGGCAUUGUCUGAUCUGCGCAGUUCUUGUGAGCAGAAGUUUAUAUAUACUAGUUUGCUAUUAGACCUAUCAGCAACCUCCUUUUCAAUAUUAACCGCGUCUGCAAUUGCCAAUUCUGUUUCUGCUGUUCUGCGCAUAACUGACAGAUUUGUCUUCUUUAGAAGGUGCUCAGUGAGACGGUGAAGUUGAGCCAGCCUGACGGACAUGGGGAUUUUAUUAUGACGACUGGGUGCCAAAGCUGGCCG